GAGAAUUUUCGAUGAAUCUGGUCGUCUUCCGUGUAUUUGUUCGUGGUUCGUCGAGUAGGUUCGUCUGGGUUGGGUUUAUUUGGUGGAGGUGGAGUUGUUUACUCGUCGAGAAGGUUCAUCUGGGCCGGUUAAUUUGGGGGAGGUGGAAUUGGAUGCUCUUCUUUUCCCCCCAAAGAUGAUUUCGUUGUUUUGAAUUUUGAAUUCUAGGGUAUUUUCCCUCCUAAUUGGAUUCGGUUGCCUAUAAAUUGGGGAUUGAGGAGAGUUGUGUUGUAUGUACUAAGUACUAAAGGGUAUAGUUAAGAUUGAGGAUAUGGUGUUUGGCGAAAACAUGAAGUUGGAUGGUAAGUUUGAAGAUGUUGCUGGUUUAUUACCUGGCAAAGAAAUUGGUGCUAUUAAGGUUAGGGUUCUUUGUUUGUGGAAAGUACCUGCUUUUAUGAAUCCAAUGAAGUUCAAUUCACUUGAGAUGGUUUUGUGUGAUGAGAAGGGGGGAAAAAUACAUGCUUUUGUUAGAAAGCAACUUAUUAAUAUGUUUGAUUCGAAGCUUGAAGAGGGCGGAGUGUAUGAGAUCUCCUCUCUGUCUAUUUUUCCCGAGAGUGGUUUGUAUCCAACUACUCUUCAUCGAUACAAGCUUGGUUUUCAAAGUAAGACAGUGGUCAAGCCUUCUCAGAGUUCUGAUAUAUCGCAAUAUGGUUUUAGCUUCACAAACAUUGCUGAAAUUUGUUCAUUUACUCAUGAUUAUGAGUUUCUGGUUGGUAAGUGGUGGUGGAGGUAGAAUUGCAUCUUAUUAUUUCCCCCCUAAAAAGCUUAGAGUGAUUUGAAUUUCGAAUUCUCUAUAAUUUUCCCUCCUAAUUGAAUUUCUUCUGCUCCACUUGUCUAUAAAUUGAGGAUGGGGAAGAUUUGCGAUGCACAGAUUGAGAGCAACAGGGUGUAGUUAGGGUUUGACGGGAUGGUGUAUAACGAUAAGUUGAAGGUGGAUGGUAAAUUUGAUGAUGUUGCGGCUAUAUUGCCCGGUAAAGAAAUUGGUCGUAUUAAGGUAUGAUGCUUCGUCUGUGAAAAGUACCUGCUUUCCUUAUUCCAAUUGAAUCCAACUUACUUGAGAUGGUUUUGGGUGAUGAGAAGGGUGGAAAAAAUUCAUACCACUGUUAGGAAACAGCUUAUUUAUAUGUUUGAUUGGAAGCUUGAAGAGGGCCAGGUAUAUGAGAUGUCGUGUUUCGCUGUUCUUCCUGAGAGUGGUUUAUACCGUACGACCCUUCAUCCAUAUAAACUUGCGUUUCAAAGUAAGGCAAAGGUCAGGCUGUCUAAAAUUUGUUCUAUAUCCCAGUUUGGGUUAAGUUUAACUUAUAUUGCCGAAAUUUGUUCUCACACUUAUGAUUAUGAGUUUUUGGUUGGUAAGUAACUGUGUAUGCGGUGGAUAUUGUAUGUUGUAUUCGAGUUUUGCAAAAUUUAAUUCAUCAGUUGAUUGAUAGAUGUGAUUUAAAGAUUUUGAUUUUUGUUGUUGUUGUUGUUGUUGUUGAAUUCAAAUGAUUUUAUAUUGAAUUUGAAUAUUGAAUGAGUAAAUGAAUUUAGGGUGUUGAGGCUUCAAAAGAGACACGAAUACUGCUUGCUUGGUUAAUUGUCCUCAGAGGUUGGAUGGAACUACUAUGACACCAUUAAGGUGGGUUUUUAUUGUUUUGUUUGAAGUUUUUUGCUUUGUAUUUGAUAUAAAUUUAGCUAAUAAAUUGAAUUAUAGAUGUUAUUAGUAUUAUGACUGCAAUUCCUGCUGAACGAGAGUAUGUUCGUGAUGGCAAGGUAGUUAAAUGGUCAUUGUUAAGCUAACUGAUGAUAGGUAUAUGUAAUGCUUAUUUAUGACUGAAUCAUUACUAAUUUUAUUUUCAGUCUUUGAGAUAUUAGUGUCUUCAUUUUCAUCACUAUUUCUGUUGUAAACUGAAUGAACUAAAAACCAAUUCCAAACAUGGCACAACAAGUGAGGAACAAGCAAGUGAUUCUGAGGGACUAUGUGUCUGGUUUUCCUAAAGAAUCGGACAUGAUCAUUAUUGACAGUACCAUAACUCUAAAGCUUCCAGAAAGUUCCAAUGAUGUUCUGCUAAAAAAUCUCUACUUGGCUUGUGAUCCAUACAUGAGGAAUCUCAUGAACAAAACACAAGGAAUUCCUAAUCCUCUUUCAUAUACCCCUCAAUCUGUAAGUUAAUAAUUUUGUGAAUAACCCUUUUGAGUAUAUAAAUCAAAAACCCUUUUGAGUAUAUGUCAAAUUUGAUCCUUAAAGUAGCUUUUUUUAUAUGUAAAUUUUGUCUUUGAAUGGAUCAAUUUGUUAGUUAAGUUUACAACUUUGAUAUGAUAAAUUUCUUAGCAAAUUAAAAAUUUUGGAUUUUUGUUUUUGUUUUAACCCUCCGUUGGUCUAACGAAGGGCCAUGAUAAUUCAGAGUUCGGCCCAGGUAAGUAAAGUCUGGUCAAUGACUAUUUCAUUAGAAUUUUAACUCGGUUUUCUCGAACGAUUCUUCCUUAAUUGGAGUAGUAGAGAUCAAUUGCUUGAUAUUAGCAAGUGGUCAUGUAAUUUGUAAGAUUGGAGUUUAAGUUUUAUUCUUUAAUCAAGAUUGAAACUAAUCAAAGAAUAAUGUACAACAUUGAAACAAGUUUUUGUUUAUGUAGCUUCUGAUGAUUUUUGAGUAAAUGCAGGUAAUAGCAGGUUUUGGGGUGUCUAAAGUCCUUGAAUCAGGACACCGUGAUUAUAAGGAAGGUGAUUUCGGGUUUCUGCCAUUUUGUUGCACCUUUUGACAUAUGUUAUGUUUUUCUUUGAUAGCAGGUACGCGUUUUAAACAAGUGAAGAUUGAGAAGGAGUGAUUUUUGUAUUUGUUUUCUAAUAAUGGUGUGAUGCAUAUUGUGAUGUGAAUUUAGUUAGCUGUUGUGUGAACUCUCCAUGUUGUAAUCGUUGUAUUUAAGUUCUAAGUGAUGGGGAUUUAAAUAAAAUUUUUUGUUGUUAUCUACUGGAAGUGUUCUAAGUGUGUUGUGUUAUGUAUCAUCGUCUGUUGAGUGUCCUAAGUGUCCUAAGUCUGUUGUUAUCGUCUGUAGGAAAAUAUUGAAGUUGUGCAAGUUACCACAAUUAGCCCCAAUGCGCACGACUAACUGAAAAAAGGAAAAAUACACAAGACACUCAGAACAUAGUUAUCAGUUUUCCUGGCAACUAUUAUUAGAUCGAAUCCCGACCAAGAAUAAUUUAUGUAGGUGGAGGAUUAUGCAGCAACAGUUAUCAGUUUGUGUUUUGUGUGAGCUGACGGCGGAAACGGGGCCUCAUUUAUUCCUUCACUGUAACUGUACUUCGAAGGUGUGGCAUCAAGUAAUGCAGUGGUUAGGGCUGGUAAUAAUUCUUCCACAAAAUCUGUUUAUGUCUUUUGGGUUGUUAAUCGACAGUGGUUUAUAGAUGGUGCAGCAAAAGAUCCUUGCUUACUUUAUGAAUGGAGAUGGAGUCCUUUUGAUUGCUUCUAUCGGUGAGGAGGUGUAGAUCUGGUGUGUGCUCUGUGUGGUGGGAGUUGUUAGGGGUGUUGCUGUGCUGGGUUGUCGCUUUUGGUCCUCUGCGUGAAGUUGUUUUGUGUUGGUUUUUGUGUGUCUCUAGGUUUUGUUCCUGGUUUGAGUGGAUGUAGGAGUUUGUUUAGUUUGUUGCUUUUUUCUAGCCUUUCCUUUGUAUCUUUUUCUCAGCAAACAUCUCUUAUGUUUGGUUGAGUUUAUCAAUAAAUUUUGGCUGUUAAAAAAAAUAUAUAAUGUUUGAGGCCUUGAGGACCUAAUUAUUUAUUUUAAAGGGUUGUUUUGAGAUA